AAACAUUUCCUGGAUUACUCUGAAGUUUUCCAGUGGAAAUUCUCACUCUGGUUUCCCCAUCGCCUCAAUCUGCUGAGCCCCAAACCCCCCCUCGAGCAGAAGCGCCGUGACCACGGAUAGGGCUGUGCCCUCAAAAUGGGAGGAGAUCUCACUGCUCCUACAGGCAUUUACCCGACUGGCUGGUGAGUGGGUGACAAAUCUCCUUCAGCAGCACUCCCAGGUGUGCUGAAGUGCGUUCAGCUGGUAUCCCCAUCCAUCAGCUGGGGAGAAUGCUUCUCUGGUUUGUGUGGCCUGGUUCGACAUGACAGAAGAAGAGCCAGGAAGUUUUAUAAAGGCAAAGAAAUUGAGGAGGAAGAGGACGGAGCGCCGCUGAAGACGGAGCCUGGAGGAUGUUUCCUGGCCCAGUCUGGGAGAGGAUCAGAUAGUGGGCAGAUAACAAUAGAAAUGAUGACUGAGACGAAACUGCGGCCACUCGCUGGGCAGAGAGAGAGGCUGGCCCCACCGCGGGCAGACGGAGACUGGAGAGGAGGAUCCAAAGCACAAGCAGCUCUGGUGCACGAGCUGAGCCCUGCAGCAAACUCAUGUGGGACCUCUGAGAGCUGAGAACUUCCAGGACUGCUGCAUGAGUGCUUGUACCUUUUCAGCUGGGGUAUGAAGACUCAGCAGCAAAUUCAGACCAUAAAUAUGUCUGGAGAGCGUAAAUAACUGUUACCAUGGCUCUUUCUGCCCACCAUGGUUCUUGCUUUCCUUUCACCAGUACUUUGGGAACUACCCCAUGAGCACUGGGUCCCUUGAGCCCACAUCACAGUGCGUUUCCCUCUAAUCGGAUAGAUGCUG
ensembl:lncRNA